rnacentral:rRNA from 1 species
CCCGACUUCCAUACUGGCGGGGCCACACCCGGAACCAUUCCGAACCCGGCAGUUAAGCCCGCCGAGGCCGAUGGUACUUCCCCCGCAAGGGGGCGGGAGAGUAGGUAGAAGUCGGGG